AUAAAUAAAUAAAUAAGAUAAUACAUUGGGAAUCAGAGUCUGUAGUCACACAUUCCAGAAAGGUAAGAGUCUUGGGGAUGGAGAGGUAGUCAGUUAUAGUGAAUAGGUAGCAUUCCUAGCUCUUGUCACCUGGAAAAAGGAAAAAUUAUCAUAUCACUUUCAUGAUUCCUAGGAUUCUCAUAUAUUAAAGGUUCUGUAAUUAGUUAUUUAGAUGGUUAGUUUUUAAGCCAAGCUCCUCCCUCCGUAACAGUUUUUACUGUUUAAGAAUCUGCAAUCUCUUCUUGAUUCCCUUGCCUGGCAGAGGCUAAGUCCCAGAGAAUUGAGUAAAACAUUUGCAAUCCCUGCCAUUGUGUUAGAAUUUAUUCAUUGUUCAGUGAGGAUGGGAUGGAGGGGAGCAGCCAGAAUGGGACUCUGAAGUGAGUUGUAAACAGAGGCCCAUGAGGGUGCUCAAGAAGUAUGGGAAGGAAGAGAGAAACGGAAGGGAGCAAGUGUGUAGGAGGGGAAAGGUCAGAGCUUUGAAAUAUAAGACUUUGAACUUGCAUUUAGUAAAUUUUAUAAAACAUGGAAUUUUUCCCACUGUGGAAAUAAAAACUGGUGGCUUAUGCUUAGGGGAAUGAAUAGCGGCAUAGAAUUGGAGAGUGAGUCACUGACUUAUCAGGGAGAGGUCAAACACUUGGUACAAACUUUCUCCAAUGCCUUAUUCUGUCAAAAAAAAUUAAAUGAGGGGUUGCUUUCAUCCUUGUGUCACUGUAUCAGCAUCUUUCUUGUAAAUGCAGAGUAUGGUGCAUUGACUUCCAUUGAUAUUCUCUUCCCCUUUAGGAACUCUUGUUCUCUUCUUCUGAUUUCCAAGGACACUUGUUUAGUGGUUUUGAGUUUCAGCUAUCAAAACUCUAAGUUCAAAAGGCAGAAUCAAUGUCACUGCAUAAUAGUUCACCAACAUGAUUCAUUUAUUUGUAAUGCUUAAAAAAGUUUCCCAGAGAACUUAGCAGAGUUUGAGUUUCUAAAAGUGGUUUCCUGGCAUAUCUGAUACCUUAGUAGGGCUUUUCAUCUUAGCUAAUCUCUUCCUGAGAUUACUUAACAGUCCAUUUACUUGGGCAAGGGCUACAACGUCCUGAGUCUCUAACUAUGCGUUGAGGGCAAAUGUGAAUAUUGAAGCAGAAGGCUAAAAUGUGAGUUUAUUACACUUAAUGUUGUUCUCUAUUAUAUUUCCUCAGGCUAUAUAUUUAGGAACAAGAAACAAAGUGCAGUAGAUGAUCCUAUGAUUACUAUAUCCACCCCUCAGCAACCUUGGAAAGUAUAGAUAGUAAUUCUGCAAUGACAUUUGUGCUACAAAUUUUUUUUUACCCCAUACACUUUUAGUGACUAUGCUUGGGGGUCCACUUACAUGUCUGUGCACAACAUCUUUUAGCCAAGUGACAGAUAGGGUGUUUCUACUCAAGAAAGUAGCAGCACUGCAGUUAAGUGUGUAGGAGCUGGAGUUCAGAUGGCCUGGGUCUACAUCCUGACUUCACCUUGAGUGCAGACCUGCCUACAGAGAGCCUGAGUUCCCCAACCAGAAGAAAGCACUUCCUAGAACUGAGUAUAUGCAUCAGUCCAAUGGUGAAGUUCAGCUUUCAAAGUUUUAUUUCCCAAAGCACCAAAGAGUAAAUAAGUUAGAAGAAGAGAAAAGCCUGCCACAGUGUCUUACUAAUGAAGAGGAUCUUGGCUGUUUUCAGGAUGUUCUUCACAAUAAGAUACAUCAGAGUAAGUAAGUGCCAUUUCUCAGUAUACACAUAAAUGCAGCUUGGUCUUAUUAAUCCUAUAAAAACAGCAACACAGUCUUCUCAUAUGCUGUCUUUCCCCCUUUCAGUUUCCAGUCUUCAGUGCAUAAUGACACUGUAGACAUAUCUGUCCUUCUUUCAUGAGGCCAAUUUAUUCCCUAUUAAUUAACCUCAAUGCUAAUUAGGUGAUUUGAGCUCUACUUGUAGAGUUUACAGAAAAUAACAACAUAUCCAUUAUGUCAGCAAUCAAAGCAAAACAAGAUUGGGAUGAUGCCAGUGAUCAAAGCUCAUCAGUGAGAUUCAGGGACAAGGAGAAGAGGGUGUUUUGACUUCAAAAGAAUUUUAAUGAUAGUGUUAGCAGUCAUUUGCUUAUUUGAAAGAGCCAUUUCAGAAGGAAUCCUCUGAAGAAUAAAAUGAAGGGGGAAGCUUUAGCUUUACCCCGUGCCACUUCACCUUGAUUCUUGAAGCCAUUCACCUUCACUGCUCCCAAAUCGCUGAGUCUGGAGACCUGUGGAAGUGUUUGACUUAUCAGAAAUGUCCUGAUUUGUCUGGACUAGAAAAUUUAAAAAAAGAUGACUGCUGCUCACUUUUGCUGAGGACUCAACAGUGGUAGCAGCUUUUAGAGAAACUCCUUCCCUUGGUAAGACAUAAAGUGCCAAUGUGUAAGCAAGUGUCUAAGUAAGAUGCUAUUACCUAAUAGUCCUAGCUCAGCCUGUAGUUCUUUCCCAGUGUAGGGUAAGGUGGGGUGGGGAACUAUAGCAAUUACUUUUGAAGUCCUACUCUCCUUAAAACCUUUGCCAAAAAUACUCCUUGUAUCACUAGCCAUCCCCAGAUAUCAAUGUUACCAAUUUCAAGUACUCAUCACUCCGCUAAGUUCCACAAUGCAAACAGGAAUUGUAUAAAGUAUGGUCUCUACUGAUCUUGACUGGGUAAACAGCAAUUAGAGGAGUGUGUGUGUGUGUGUGUGUGUGUGUGUGUGUGUGUGUGUGUGUAGUAGUGCUAUCUCAUAUCCUUGAUUCUGGCCUGCCCUAUCUAUACAUUCCCCUGUUUCUAAUAUCCCUAGAGAUAUUCCUUCUAGAUUGCCUCCUCCACAUUCAUCUAGCCACAAACAUUGAUUGUUCAGAGCAGUCCAGCAGACACAACAGAUGGACAGAAAGUGGGGGAAUUUCAGACACAAAUCAUAUUCCUCUGAAGUAGCAUAAUAGUUAUACUUUCACAUUGUAUGGUCAGCAUAGCUCAGAUUUAAUUAAAGCACUCAAUCGCACCAUUACCAUUUUUGGUGACAGCUCGGUAUAAAUAUAUUAAGCACAAUUCUUCCCAGGCCCGGCUUGUCAGCACUCUCCUUAAAUGCCCUUUUGUCUUCUCUAGCCUUUUUCGAAAGCCCUGAACUUUUAGCUUAUAAAUGAUUAGUACCUAUACACUUCCACCUCCAAUUCCUAAGUUAAAUUACUGUCUUCAGCCUUUCUUGGGAUUCCUCAGGAGUAAUAUGUCUCUUCCAUUGGACCAUAAUUUUUUCAUUUUAACUUUAAUCAAAACUGCAUUGACAUCUCAACCUCCUUCUUCAUAGCUGGCUUCUUUAUAUCUCCUCUGUCACUGGCAUGGAUAUAAGUUUUCUCUCUCACCUUGUAUCUUGUUUUCUCCAUAUCAUGCUCUCAUUGCUUAGUUCCAUAGUUUCUUACUGUAGCAUCAUUCCCUGCAUUCCUUUAGUUUCUCCAGUUUCUAUUGAAAUUCUUUUUCCUCAUUCAUUUAUUCAAAAAAUAUCUUUUGAGUACAACCUCUGUGCCAGAAAGUGUCCUGGGGGCUUGAGGUACUUCAGUGAACAAAACGGACAAAGAUCACUGCUCUUGCAGGACUUACAUUCAUUUUAGCAGCUGGAGAAAACAAGAUAAAAAGUGAAAAUCCUACAUAGGUGUUACUAGAUUGGGGUUAGUACCUUAGGGAAAGAGAAGUAGAGAAGGGUAACGGGAAGAGGAACAUGGUGGCGUGGCCUCAUGGAGAAAGACGUGCAUUUGGUGAGGGAGUUAACUCAGUAGACAUCUUGGGGAAUAGAAAUCAAGAUGAAGAAACAGCCAGCUGGUUCAAAGUCCUGCAGGCAGAAGAAUGCUUGGCCUUGCCUGAACAUUCACAGAUAAGAAGGCGGCUACUGUAGCCAGAGGAGGGUGAAUCAGGGGGAAAAACAGGGAUUCAUUAACUCAUCUUGAAAAUUAUUUGCCUUCUCUACAUACUGAUGGACUCAGUGUCUCCCACUCAAAGUAGAAUCAUAUCUCUUUAACAUAUCACAAUAUACAUCUGUCUAGGUAGUUCCUAUACAUAUUAAAUUAAGUAGCUGCUGUUUGGUGGGAAUGUAAAUUAUGCAGCCAUUAUGGAAAUCAGUAUGAAGGUUACUAAAAAAAUUAAAAAUAGAACUACCAUGUAGGAAGCAACAUAAGUAUCUCAAAGAGGUUUCUAUGCUCCUAUGUUCACUACAGCGUUAUUCACAAUAGCCAAGAUAUGGAAACAAACUAAGUGACCAUCAAUAGAUAAAUGCAUGAAGAAAAACACGAUAAUAUUGUUCAGCUGCAAAAAGAAGGAAACCCUGCCAUUUGUGAUGACAUGAAUGAAACUGGGAGACAUUUUGCUAAGUGAAAUAAAUCA